GAGAAGCUUAUUUCCUUGGCCAGCAUCAUCGGACGGUCGAGAAUGGCUGGGGAGAAGAGCAAGAUCCUGAUCAUCGGCAGCACGGGGUACAUCGGAAAGUUCAUCACGGCGGCGAGUGCGCGGUCAGGUCACCCCACCUUCGCCUUUGUGAGAGACACCGCCCCCUCCGAUCCGGCCAAGGCGAAGCUCCUGGACGACUUCAAGGCCUCGGGCGUCACCCUCAUCCAAGGGGAUCUUUAUGAUCAUGGGAGCUUGGUGAAGGCGAUAAAGCAAGUGGACGUGGUGAUCUCGACGGUGGGGUUCUUGCAAGUGGCCGAUCAGACCAAGAUCAUCGCCGCAAUUAAAGAAGCUGGAAACAUUAAGAGAUUCUUCCCAUCUGAAUUUGGGAAUGAUGUCGAUCGUGUGCAUGCUGUGGAGCCAGCAAAAUCAACAUUUGCCAUCAAGGCCCAGAUCAGACGUGCUAUUGAAGCAGAGGGGAUUCCUUACACUAUUGUUUGUUCCAACUUCUUUGCUGGUUACUUCCUUCCAUCAAUUGGACAAGCCGGAGAGGCUGGUCUUCCCACGGAUAAAGUUGUUAUCUUAGGUGAUGGGAAUACCAAAGUAAUCUUUGUGAACGAAGAUGACAUUGGCACAUUCACCAUUAGAGCCGUGGAUGACCCAAGAACACGGAACAAGAUUCUGCAUCUUAGACCACCCCCCAACACCUUAUCUCACAAUGAGCUAGUCUCCCUGUGGGAGAAGAAGGUUGGCAAGACCUUUGAGAGGGUUUAUGUUCCUGAAGAACAAGUUCUGAAGCAGAUCCAAGAAUCUCCCAUUCCGUUGAAUAUCGUGCUGUCUAUCUGCUUCUCUGUCUUCAUUAAGGGGGACCAUACAAACUUUCAGAUUGAGCCAUCAUUUGAUGUGGAAGCCACGGAGCUCUAUCCUGAUGUCAAAUACACUACCGUUGAUGAGUAUCUGAACCGGUUUAUCUGAAAAACCAUGAGUAUAUGAGAGGUAAAAAUCUCAGAAGACAGUAGCCUCUUUUUUCUUUCUAUAUGCAUUAUGCAUCGUAUCAUAUCAUCUUAGGGUAUCUGAACAUUAAAAUGGGUAUGUUAAAUGUAAAUUAGGGCCCUUAUCUUUCAAAAAGAAAUUCUCAUCAGGAGGAUUCUGGGGUUUUCUCCUUACAGUAGCUUUCUUUGCCUUUCCGUGGUGCGGAGUCCCCGUUCGCAGUAAUUUCUUACUGGGUAUAAAAUACUCCAUAUUUGUCGAGGGAGACGGCACCAACUAUGAAGCCAAACCAUCAUUUGGUGUAGAGGCCACUGUGUUUUAUCUGGAUAUCAGAUACACCAAUGAAAUUACAGAAUGUGAUCAUAUUUUAAUAGAAGGGUACAACUACUCUGGAAAGCUGUGAACAAAUGAGUUGAAUUACAAGUCGAUCCUUUCAACUGAACCCUGUAAUAAAUUUGGAGAGAUGGGAGAUAACAGAAGGAAGCAAUCAAAUACAAUGCACACUCCAAAUUCUUCUAGUUAUUUGCUACAAAAUUUUAAAGAAUAAAUCAUUGACAUGAAAUACAAUUCAGAAUCUUUUUUCUUAAAAAAAAAAAAAA